GAAGCCUACAAAAACAUUCAGUUUGUCCACUAGAGGUCAGAAAUGCAGUACAAAACAUGCGGAAACUAGCUGGAAUGUGCACCUACAGAAAAUCAACAUUGCCAACCAUAUACAGUCUGCAGAUAAAACUAUCAUACAAAAUCAUCGUGAGAUGUAAGAGAUCCAGUUGGUGCAUUCGAGAAGCACAAUGAAAGGCAACUGCCCUGUAUUUACACCAUCAGUGGGUGUGGAGGCACUGCAUCAGUACAGAUGAACUCGAGAUAUUAGGUUCCCACCCAGACGAAGCAAGUGUCAAACAUAUGGGUAUGGUAUGGGAUUUGUGUGUUGCUCUGUGGGGAAAUAUGCCAGAGUUUAAAGAUAUGGGUAUGUUAUUUUAAAGAUGUAUGCAGUCAUAUGACUUGGUCAAAUUGCUCUGGAGUUUGUUAGUCCUCUACCAGUGGAACAUCAUAGGGGGAAUGCCCUCCGCAUGUCUGCAAAUCUGGAUCCUGCGAUUACUAAGGCAAUAUGUAGAUUAUGCAUGAACGUCUUAUGCUUGUAGGUCAAAGGUCAAGUUCACUAUUGAAGGUCAAGUAAAAAAAUUUUCUGCUCCAGAACUUUUAUAUGCAUUGAUUAUCAUAGUGCUACACGCAAGUGUGCUCCACGAUGAGACAGUGUGUCAACGCAUGAUCUAUGCUUGUUGGUUAAUGGUCAAGGUUACUGUUCAAGGUGAAGUAAAAAUUUGGUUUUGCUCCGUUGACUCAUGGUUAUCUGUCAAAGGUCAAGGUCACUAUUGAAGGUCACGUAAAAUUGUUUUUUCACUGGUAGGGGACUUCUCUAAUGCUAAUGUAGUUCUCUGUCACUUGCUUACUACACUCACAAUUUUGUCUUCUUUUUGAGACAGAUUAGCUAAAGCGAAAUUAUUUAGGACAGUUAAAAGCAAAAAAUCUUGCUUUUGUAUCUGGUGAUGAGAUUUAAAGUAGCCAUUACUCUUUCAAUAGUAUUUGCAUUUCAGCUUGAUGAAUUGAGGAGUCCACAAGGGUUCAUGACCACCAUUUAAAUGACACCAGUUGGUUGUUAAGGAAAUGGACUAAAGAUUCAACUACUCUUAAAUCUUCUAUCACAAUGAGCUACAGUAAACUAGAUUAAACUUGACAAAGUAGUUGUUAAACCAAACUUCAUGUAUUUUUAUGCCCCACGGCAUCUUCUGAUGCGAGAGGGAUAUAGUGAUUGUCCUGUCUGUCUGUUCGUACGUUUGUCCAUACGAGGUUAACCAAAUGGGACCGUUUCGUCUAGCAUCAAU
rnacentral:lncRNA from 1 species